AUUCUAACCACGAUGUGUGCUUUUCCAUUUGGUAGACUUCAUUCAGUAGUAAGUUUUCAUUACUUUCGAGUUCUUUAUUUUCUUCUGGUGGCUUUGGAUAUGCUUACAAAAUGGCACAACCCGAGCAGUGUUGUAUAUAAUUUCUAACUCCUUGGCCACUAUUGGGGAAAUAGAGACCCAGAUCGAAAAUCUGUACGCAAAGAUAGAUCUGAUUGCGACUUUAUAGAGAAUUGGUGAAAGUAAUACCCAUGUAUUUGAGGGUGAUUUUAAAAGGAAUCUCAAUUCUGUUUCUGGGGCAUUUUCCUGAAGCGAUCCGGAAACAUAUUGCUACUGAUUUCUAGGCAUUGUUUUUCACUCCCCAUUUUUUAAGAAUUCAUGAAUGCUCUGGAGAUGAGUUCUAGCGUUUUGUAAGGUGUUUUUGGGCGAAAUGUUGUGUGCUUAAAUUAAGCAGUGUAAAAAUGAAGAGUGAAAAAACUUACCAUCAACUUGACCAGAUAUGUGUCUAGGCCAAUUUGGAUUAACUUGUAAAGUACUCCUGCGUGACAUACUGAAUCAAAUUCUUUCUGGAUAUCUAAGGAAAUCGCUGCAGUAGACACUUGGUUCCUUAGGUUUGACGUUAUAUCACUAUGGAGCUUCAGUAGUGCAUGUUGUCUGCCUCAAAUAACUUCCCGAUGUUGGACAGUAGUGAUGUUGAUCGACAAUUGUCUAAGGUAUUGUCAUUAAUCAUAUUCUUUUUUAUGGGGAUCAUUUUCGCCAAUUUCCAGAGUGAUGGGAAAUAUCCAUUGUUAAUGCAGUUGUUGAACAGGCAGGGUUGGUGAAGUGAAAAUAACUUGUUCAAUGAAUUGAAGUUAUCAUCAAAUGAAUCGAUGUGCAGUGGAGCGGCAUUGAUGCAUGUUGUGACUCUAGAGUUAAGAUCGUUUACAGAAUUUGUGGGCAG